GGGCCCAGGCGCGUCGGGCCUCCCGAGGGGGCUACGAGUGUCACUCAGACCUCCGCACGUGUCCACCGCGCGCGGAGCAGCCCUGCAAGCUAUUUGGCAUAUGAAGGUCUCGACCUGAGAAAACCAUCGUGGAUAACCAUAACCACGGCCAGGAGAAGGGAAAAUGCAACACCUAGGAGAUUUCAGUAAACAGUAGAAUCAUGCCAACCUAAUCUGUGUUAAAAUGCUUGGAAUGUGGGAGCCGCUGAUGAUGCCUGUUGUCUGUGUGUCUGACUGAAUCCUUUCUUUUCUCAGAGCAGCAAAGCAAAGCCUGGGAACCAGGCCAAAUGCCUGCCACUUACCUUAAAUUGAUCAGCCACUUUGAGAUUAAAACCCCUGAAAGCUGCCACACCGUGAAAACAAGGCCUCCUUCACAUUAAAGGCAAAUUGCGACUUUG